rnacentral:lncRNA from 1 species
AAAUGUUCAAAUCAGAACUUAAGUACACCAAAGGAAAUUGCCCAUGAAUAUGAAAAUUUGAAUGAACUGUAAACAGGAAGUUCUUUGUUGGAGGAAAACAAAAUGGAGAUAAACUUUGUUGCUAGAAAUUUUGAAAUGGCUAUUAGACAGACAUUAGAAAAAAUGUGUUUAUCAGAAGUAUGUCCUCAGAAACACACAUGCAUGAAUCAUGAUCAGUGACCACACUGCAGAAUAGAUUGGGAUCACAGAGAGACAUCAUCAAACAGAUUACAUAUGUUUCAAUAUGAAAUUGUUGGAAAGAAGUUCCCGAACACGACUCCAGUGCUUCUAAAGCUGCCUGAAGCUAACAGAACCCCAAAAAUGUUGUUUGUUUUUUGUUGUUGUAGAAACUGUCAAUAAAUUAUUAUUUAAUAAAUUUUGA